rnacentral:sRNA from 1 species
AUAUCUCUCUGUACGGGAAGGAUGAGAAGCUUCGACUAAGGUUCGAUUCGAGCGAAAGCGAGAAAGCAUUGCCAACGGCAACGACCCGAAGGGCGAAGCGCGCAGCGCUGAGUCAUCCUUCCCCCGUCAUCC